CCAAUAGCGUAUAUUAAAGUUGUUGCAGUUAAAAAGCUCGUAGUUGAAUUUCGAGACCGGUUUACUGGUCGUGCUUUUGUACGUACUGGUAUUAUUGGUUUCUCCUUUCUGACGAACUAUAAUGCCAUUAAUUUGGUGUUUUAGGGAAUCAGGACUGUUACUUUGAAAAAAUUAGAGUGUUUAAAGCAGGCUCACGCUUGAAUACAUUAGCAUGGAAUAACGGAAUAGGACGUUUGAUUCUAUUUUGUUGGUUUCUAGGAUCGACGUAAUGAUUAAUAGGGAUAGUUGGGGGCAUUAGUAUUCAAUUGUCAGAGGUGAAAUUCUGGGAUUUAUUGAAGACUAACUACUGCGAAAGCAUUUGCCAAGGAUGUUUUCAUUAAUCAAGAACGAAAGUUAGGGGAUCGAAGACGAUCAGAUACCGUCGUAGUCUUAACCAUAAACUAUGCCGACUAGGGAACGGAUGAUGUUAAUUUUUUAAUGACUCAUUCGGCGCCUUAC
rnacentral:rRNA from 1 species